rnacentral:rRNA from 1 species
AUGCCGGCUUUUAAGACCGCUCCAGGCGGAAAAGCGAAGCCCAGCAAGAAGGUGAAGAAAAGCAAGCCGGCCGAAGAGCCAUCUUUCAAAGAGCCAGAACUCCAGACGGCCGCUCCCGAGGCCUCUGUUCCUGAGCCGCCGCUUGAACCGGCGCAUGACACACCAACAUCAACUAUCGACCCGCCUGCCGAACAAACCGCCGAUGGUUCUGAAAACCUUGAAGUCUCUAGCCCGGCCAAGAUAGACGACCCACAGGAUGCUGAUGUUGUAAUCACCAAGACUGGCUACACUGAGCCGGGGAGACCUACUGUGCUAGCCAAGUGUUCUGCCAAAGAAGAGCACCUGGAACGUUGUAAGGUCAGAUUUGACGUUGCUGAUUAUACUCACAUGAGCAUUGGGGAAGUUUUUUCUGGAUAUCUUAGCCAAGUGCACAGCAGCCGUGACCUCGAAGUUGAUAUGGUGAAGCAAAUGCACUAG